rnacentral:snRNA from 1 species
AUUGCUUCUCAGCCUUUUGGCUAAGAGCAAGAGUAGUAUAUGUUAGUGUCAGUUUAAUAUUUGAUAUGUGCUCUUUCCGAGGACAAUAUAGUAAAUGAAUUUUUGGAGGGAGAUGGAAUAGGAAUUUGCUGCAUGCACUGUGUGCUUUGACUUGGUAUUGCAGUGCCUUAUGGAAAGGUACACCCC